GCUAAUACAGUGCAUUCGUCGCCGGAGAAUGAUGUUGCAUUUCACCCAAGUGGAAAUUUCUUGGUGACUGGCGGCGAUGACGAUACAAUAAGAUUGCUUGAUUUAUUAGGUCGGCCAAUUUAUACACGGUAGUAGGGCACUUUAGCGGAACCAGGUCAAAAUGGACGGGAAAAUUAUACACUAACUGGCUACUAAGUUUGCGCUGUCGCUUUCUCUCCACAUGGUAGACAUUUUGCUUCCGCGGGCGAGGAUCGACAGUUGCUCGUUUGGAAAUCUAAUUUGCGUACGUUUGAUGCCAAUAGCGCUCGCAACAAACAAGCCAGUUCUCAAAGAGUCCAAAUUGAUUUUAGUCAUGCAACUGCUCCACAUAACUCCGCCAUAGACACACACCAGUUUCUGGAGUACCAAAAAGCUGUGAUGAAGGUAUUUUAAUUGAUCCACGACAAUCCGUGGCAUAUGGAAUGCGUGAUGGAAAAUUUCUGGUGCUUGAUAGCCAAUAUACUACAAGAGAACCAUCUCCAAUCAACUUUACCACACCACAUUGUCAGUAACAUAAGCAACAGCAGUACCUCGUUUCUACACAUGCCAAACAAAAAUUUCGUUCGCGCUUAACUGCUUGGAAGGCUGCUGAUGACUCUUCAUAGAAAAUGCAUUGUUUGUAAUUUAUUAAAUAUGAUGUGUACAUACUUAUGUAUUUCUGUUUGUAUUUUAAACUAUGUACGUUAACAAUUUACAUUGUAUUAAAUUAUUACUUGAACACGU